GAUGAACGCUAGCUACAGGCUUAACACAUGCAAGUCGAGGGGCAGCAUGGGACGGAGAUUCGUCGAAGUCCUGAUGGCGACCGGCGCAAGGGUGCGUAACGCGUGAGCAACUUGCCCGUUUCUGGGGAAUAACCGGUGGAAACGCCGACUAAUACCCCAUAGUAUCAGAUGGAGGCAUCUUUAUUUGAUUAAAGAAUUUCGGAAACGGAUAGGCUCGCGUGACAUUAGCUAGAUGGCGGGGUAACGGCCCACCAUGGCGACGAUGUCUAGGGGUUCUGAGAGGAAGGUCCCCCACACUGGAACUGAGACACGGUCCAGACUCCUACGGGAGCAGCAGUGAGGAAUAUUGGUCAAUGGUCGGAAGACUGAACCAGCCAAGUAGCGUGAAGGAUGAAGGUUCUAUGGAUUGUAAACUUC
rnacentral:rRNA from 1 species